rnacentral:rRNA from 1 species
AGCGAACGCUGGCGGCAGGCCUAACACAUGCAAGUCGAACGGAUCCUUCGGGAUUAGUGGCGGACGGGUGAGUAACACGUGGGAACGUGCCCUUUUGUUCGGAACACUUCAGGGAAACUUGAGCUAAUACCGGAUGUGUCCUUCUGGGGAAAGAUUGGUCGCCCUUGUGACGGCCCGCGUUUGUUUCGCUAGUUGCGAAGGUAACGGCCCACCAAGGCGUCGAUCAUUAGCUGGUCUGAGAGCCAGAGCCGCCACACUGGGACUCUGACACGGCCCAGACUAUUAGAGGAGGCACCAGUGGGUAAUCUAGCGAAACGGGCUAAAGGAUGAAGGCGCUAUGCCUGGUGAAUGAUGAAGGUCUGAGGAAAGUAAAAUUGUUUCAGCGGGGACGAUAAUGACGGUACCCGAAGAAUAAGCACCGGCUAACUUCGUG